GCGGAGCUACAGGCUCAGGAAGAGGCCGUGGUAGAAUGUGUUUCAGCCUGUUGUUCCUGUAGUUCUUCCAAUAGUAAAACUGUUGCCUAUGCGCCAACUCCUAAAAGAUGGGCCAUAGCAGUUCUGUAGUUGGGGUUUUGAAGAAGCUCGAGGAAAUAAAGACAGAAGAACAUAAGAAAACAGACAAAAGACAAGAUGAGCACAACAUCAUCAGAACUCACAUGAUGUACUUGGGUUGCUGCCAGUACUGAAGAUACUUCAAGUAUCCAAUAAACGCUUCAUCUUCAAAAUACCGAUUCUGUGCCACGUCUGCAACAAAAUACAACCCCAAAAAGCUCUUAUCAAUUAAAGCCCUAGAACGAAACCUAUAAACUCUAUAAUAACUUACAGUGGAUGUAAGUAGGAUUAGCGAGACACUGAACGAACUCAAGUUCCAGUAAGAAUCUUUGCCUUCCACCGUCGGGAUCCUUGUAUGAACUCAAGUUCAUGUUAGUUCUGAAUUAAACCGAUAUAAAAGUUUGGUUUGA